rnacentral:rRNA from 1 species
AACGCGAAGAACCUUACCCAGGCUUGAACAGCGAGUGACCAGUGAUGAAAGUCGCCUUCCGCAAGGACACUCGUAGAGGUGAUGCAAGGCUGUCGUCAGCUCGUGUCGUGAGAUGUUGGGUUAAGUCCCGCAACGAGCGCAACCCUCGUUCGCUGUUGCCAUCACGUUAUGGUGGGCACUCUGCAAGGACUGCCGGUGAUAAACCGGAGGAAGGUGGGGAUGACGUCAAGUCAGCAUGGCCUUCAUGUCUGGGGGUACACACGUGCUACAAUGCCCGACACAACCCGUGGCAAGCCCGUAAGGUGGAGCUAAUCGGAUAAACUCGGUAUCAGUUCGGAUAGCAGGCUGCAAAUCGCUUGCAGGAAGCCGGAAUCGAUAGUAAUCGCGGAUCAGCACUCCGCGGAAACAAGCCCCGAUGUUUACCUAAGGGAUGGCCAUGC